UACGUAGGGUGCGAGCGUUGUCCGGAAUUAUUGGGCGUAAAGAGCUCGUAGGCGGUCUGUCGCGUCGAAUGUGAAAACCCCGGGGCUCAACUCCGGGCUUGCAUUCGAUACGGGCAGGCUAGAGUUCGGUAGGGGAAUCUGGAAUUCCUGGUGUAGCGGUGAAAUGCGCAGAGUAUCAGGAGGAACACCGGUGGCGAAGGCGGGUCUCUGGGCCGAUACUGACGCUGAGGAGCGAAAGCGUGGGGAGCGAACAGG
rnacentral:rRNA from 1 species